rnacentral:rRNA from 1 species
UGGCUCAGAUUGAACGCUGGCGGCAGGCCUAACACAUGCAAGUCGAACGGUAACAGGAGAAGCUUGCUCUUGCUGACGAGUGGCGGACGGGUGAGUAAUGUCUGGGAAACUGCCUGAUGGAGGGGGAUAACUACUGGAAACGGUAGCUAAUACCGCAUAACGUCGCAAGACCAAAGAGGGGGACCUUCGGGCCUCUUGCCAUCGGAUGUGCCCAGAUGGGAUUAGCUUGUUGGUGGGGUAACGGCUCACCAAGGCGACGAUCCCUAGCUGGUCUGAGAGGAUGACCAGCCACACUGGAACUGAGACACGGUCCAGACUCCUACGGGAGGCAGCAGUGGGGAAUAUUGCACAAUGGGCGCAAGCCUGAUGCAGCCAUGCCGCGUGUAUGAAGAAGGCCUUCGGGUUGUAAAGUACUUUCAGCGGGGAGGAAGGGAGUAAAGUUAAUACCUUUGCUCAUUGACGUUACCCGCAGAAGAAGCACCGGCUAACUCCGUGCCAGCAGCUGC